ACCUGCGGAAGGAUCAUUACAGAGUUCAUGCCCGAAAGGGUAGACCUCCCACCCUUGUGUAUUAUUACUUUGUUGCUUUGGCGAGCUGCCUUCGGGCCUUGUAUGCUCGCCAGAGAAUACCAAAACUCUUUUUAUUAAUGUCGUCUGAGUACUAUAUAAUAGUUAAAACUUUCAACAACGGAUCUCUUGGUUCUGGCAUCGAUGAAGAACGCAGCGAAAUGCGAUAAGUAAUGUGAAUUGCAGAAUUCAGUGAAUCAUCGAAUCUUUGAACGCACAUUGCGCCCCUUGGUAUUCCGGGGGGCAUGCCUGUUCGAGCGUCAUUUCAACCCUCAAGCUUAGCUUGGUAUUGAGUCUAUGUCAGUAAUGGCAGGCUCUAAAAUCAGUGGCGGCGCCGCUGGGUCCUGAACGUAGUAAUAUCUCUCGUUACAGGUUCUCGGUGUGCUUCUGCCAAAACCCAAAUUUUUCUAUGGUUGACCUCGGAUCAGGUAGGGAUACCCGCUGAACUUAAGCAUAUCAA
rnacentral:rRNA from 1 species